UACGUAGGGUGCGAGCGUUAAUCGGAAUUACUGGGCGUAAAGCGUGCGCAGGCGGUGAUGUAAGACAGGUGUGAAAUCCCCGGGCUCAACCUGGGAACUGCAUUUGUGACUGCAUCGCUGGAGUGCGGCAGAGGGGGAUGGAAUUCCGCGUGUAGCAGUGAAAUGCGUAGAUAUGCGGAGGAACACCGAUGGCGAAGGCAAUCCCCUGGGCCUGCACUGACGCUCAUGCACGAAAGCGUGGGGAGCAAACAGG
rnacentral:rRNA from 1 species